GCCAGCAGCCAUAUCACCCUGCAACUCACAACGUAACCCACUGAAGCUAAGCAGGUGUGAGCCUGGUCAGUACCUGGUUUGGAGACCUCCUGGGAAAAACUAAGGUUGCUGCUGGAA
ensembl:rRNA 5S_rRNA 5S ribosomal RNA